UCCGUAGGCGGGCAAUUAAGUCAGAGGUGAAAUCCCACAGCUCAACUGUGGAACUGCCUUUGAUACUGGUUGUCUUGAGUUACAGUGAAGUAGAUAGAAUAUGUAGUGUAGCGGUGAAAUGCAUAGAUAUUACAUAGAAUACCGAUUGUGAAGGCAGUCUACUAACUGUAUACUGACGCUAAUGGACGAAAGCGUGGGGAGCGAACAGGAUUAGAUACCCUGGUAGUCC
rnacentral:rRNA from 1 species